UUAAGACAAAGGCAAAGCCGUCGAAAGGCGGUGACGCAAAGCCACGGGUCUAACGCACGCACCGCGUGCCAUGACCGCCGGGUUGCCGCU
rnacentral:ncRNA from 1 species